UAGGGAAUCUUCCGCAAUGGGCGAAAGCCUGACGGAGCAACGCCGCGUGAGUGAUGAAGUUCUUCGGAUCGUAAAACUCUGUUAUUAGGGAAGAACAAAUGUGUAAGUAACUAUGCACGUCUUGACGGUACCUAAUCAGAAAGCCACGGCUAACUACGUGCCAGCAGCCGCGGUAAUACGUAGGUGGAAAGCGUUAUCCGGAAUUAUUGGGGGUAAAGCGCGCGUAGGCGGUUUGUUAAGUCUGAUGUGAAAGCACAAGGCACAACCGUGGAGGGUACAUGGAAACUGGAAAACUGGAGGGCAGAAGAGGAAAGUGGAAUUCCAAGUGUAGCGGUGAAAAGCGAAGAGGUAUGGGGGAAAACCAGUGGCGAAGGCAACUUUCUGAUCUGAAACUGACGAUGAUGUGCGAAAGCGUGGGGAUCAAACAGG
rnacentral:rRNA from 1 species